GUCAGGAUGGCCGAGCGGUCUAAGGCGCUGCGUUCAGGUCGCAGUCCUUUCUGUGGGCGUGGUUUCGAAUCCCACUUCUGACA
rnacentral:tRNA from 1 species